UUGUUUGUGACAGUGAUGAAACUAAAGCUAUAAUAAUAUCAGCCACCGAUUGUGGUUCUGGCAGGGUACUAGUUUUAGGAAGUGCACACCCAUCAGCAUAAGUAGGAGAGUUGAAAUCACCCACAAGAGCUUGGUGGGCUGCACGAUCAUAACCUUGUAUCGAUUUAGGCGGAGAACGGGGCUUCAGAAAAACAGUUUUUUUAUAAGAGUUACUGUGCAAUGGUUGAGUGGCUGGAGUUUUGAUAUCUUGGCUGUUGGCUACAAAAGAAGAUGGGGGUGUAAACUUUAAUGUGUCAGCAUAUGAUUUUGUCACCGGAGGAUGUAUCUUUGAUGCUUCUGAGUAUGAAACGCAAUUUUGGGCCAUAUACUUUUUUAUAUUUGUCUGCCUACCGGCUUCUGGACAAACCUUGCUAAUUGCAAUAUGGGGCCGCCACAAAGACAACAAUAACUAUUAUCUUGGUCGCAAUCACAAGAUGUACCAGUAUGCCCUUGUCCACAUUUAUAGCACCUUGGUUUAGAUCUGCAUGUAUCUUUAGUGUGUCCAUACCGGCAACAAUUGUAGCAUUGAAUUGAUGGAUAAAUGUAUAGUUCUACUUUGAGGGAAUUAAAACACAUAAAUACUCUUGUGGGAAGGACCUGACCAUCAAAAACAUGUCCACCGGUACACCUCUUACGAGCCCCAUCCUGGUAACAUUAAAAGAUGGAAUAAAAGCUUCAUAACCUUUUUCCAAUAAGGCAUGAUGUUUUAAGAAAGAAUUUGCAGCUGAGUGACUUGUGAAUGCCAUUGAAAUUUUGUUGCGACCGAUACGCUUCAAACUGCCUUGUACUAUGUUUGGCACCUGGUUUUUAUACAAAAAAUCUGCCAAAGCAUAUUGGAUGCAAAUUAAGAUCCUGUGUUACCUCUCCUGUACUAGACCUAGCAACAUGAAUAAUAAAUGGUGAAGCAUCCAA